AGUAGCUAGUGCCAUGUUUUUGUUUACAUGUACAUUGUAUAUUGCUCAAUAAAAAAUAGCAUGGUUAAAACAAAAUGAGAUGUGCCUGUAGUGUUGCACAAUUUUGUUUAUUAGAGUUACCCCCCUUUGUACAUUGUUCCGGGUAUGUAAUCCUCUCCGGUUCAUUUUUUAUUCUGUUUACAUGAGGAUAGGAGGCCAUUUUGGCUGAUGUUUUUGUAGUUUCUGCUUGUUCCAAGCAUUGCAUGUGCCUUGUGGGUACACUCCUGCACCAUAUUUGAUGUAGAAUUCUUAAUUUUCAAUAGACUGUGCCAAAACCUGAGGCAAACUGUGUACCAGAAGUGUUCAACAAGUGUUUGCGGCAUGUUUUCCCCAAACUAUGUGUCGGAGAAAAAAGGCAUACGAACAAUGUACUUACGGGAUUGUCACGGAACUAGGCGUAUCAAACUUGCCACAAAUGUACUACAAAUGUUUAGUGCAUGUAACUGUCACAUACGACGUAUAUUUUGAUAAGAAUUUCUAUAAUACAUAUCAUCCCCACGAAACACACAAAUAGAUUUUAGGAUUGAUGUAGUUUCAUCACAUUUUUUAAAAUGGGAUAUAACGAUACACAAUGUACACGUCCGAAUGGAGUACAUCUGUCAACUGUCCUAAUAAAUCUAUACAUAUGAAUA